rnacentral:misc_RNA from 1 species
GAUGAAGAACGCAGCGAAACGCGAUAGUUAAUGUGAAUUGCAGAAUUCAGUGAAUCAUCGAGUCUUUGAACGCACAUUGCGCCCCCUGGUAUUCCGGGGGGCAUGCCUGUCCGAGCGUCAUUGCUGCCCAUCAAGCGCGGCUUGUGUGUUGGGCCGCCGUCCGCCUUCCCCCCCGGGGGGAGGGGGACGGGCCCGAAAGGCAGCGGCGGCACCGCGUCCGGUCCUCGAGCGUAUGGGGCUCUGUCACCCGCUCUGGAGGCCCGGCCGGCGCCCGCCGACCCCCAACCUUCUUCUAACCAGGUUGACCUCGGAUCAGGUAGGGAUACCCGCUGAACUUAAGCAUAUCAAUAAGCGGAGA